rnacentral:rRNA from 1 species
AUGCCGGCUACGGGGAGCGAGCAACAGAUCCCGACGCCCCAACUGCAGGAUCCUGGAGACGAUCGCAACCUGGUCAGCAUUCUCCGGCGCAGGGUCGCCGCCCGAGAGCCAUUCGCGGCCGACAGCUUCAUCCAGGAGGCGGACGUCUACUUGGCUGCCCCCGCGGAGCUCGUCCGCGACCAUGCUCCGGGCAUGGACCUCGGCGAGGGGAAAGAGACGGCGUGGUACUUCUUCAGCCCCGCCAAUUACCACGAGACCCCGGGUGCACGGAGACGAAAGCGCAAGGUCGGCGGCGCUGACGCCGGUGAGACGUGCUGCUGGCACCCGGAGGCGGGAAAGGUGCCCAUUCUAGGCCCGGGUAAGAAGCCCGUUGGGGCGUACAAGCGCAAGCUCUCCUAUGUGCUCAAGGUCAAGAACCCGCCUGGUUCCGCAAAGCCGUAUCGAAACAAAAGCCUUGGUUGGAUCAUGGUCGAGAUUGGGCUUGAGCAGCAGCAGGCCGACCAGCAGCUAGUGCUCUGCAAGCUGUACAAGUCUCGCAGUCGCAGGGAUGCUGAAAUUUCUAUUUCCACCGGAGCCUGCCGCGUGGACGCCUACGACGAGAAGCCAUGUCCCGCGCCGCCGCCACCUGCUGCUGCUGCUCCGUCGUGUGAUAGCCAGGUAACGGAACGUAAGACGACGACAUCAGGCUACAAUAUUCACUCGCCGAGAGUCGCCCAGAAGCCUCCACUCUCCAUCCCCCUCGCCUUCAAGCAUGGCACUCGGUCUAGGCCGAUGGGAGGGAGCAGGAGUGGUGUGGCAAUUGAGAAGAAGGCGUCGCCGGCGGUGGCGGUGACCGUCGUGAUGAAAUUCGGUGGGUCAUUGACGCAGUCGGCCCAUCGGAUGAAGGAGAUGGCCAAGCUCGUCCGCAGCUUCCCGGACGGAGGCGGCGAGUCUCCGGUGGUUGUUCUGUCCGCCAUGGGGAACACCACCACCAACCUUCUCCUGGCCGCUGGGAAAGCGCUGAGCUGCCGGCCCCAAGAGGCGAGCGAAAUCCACGAGCUCGCCAUCACAAAGGAGCUGCAUUUCAGGAUGGUUGAUGAUCUUGGACUGCAUAGGUCGAUUGCUUCAGCAUGUUCAUUGGAUGAGCUGGAAAACGUUUUUAUGGCUAUUGUUGUGAUGAAAGAGCUGACUUCUAAGACACGAGAUUACCUUGUUUCCUUCGGUGAACACAUGUCCACAAGAAUACUUUCUGCAUAUCUAAAUAAACUUGGGGAAGGGGCACGACAGGAAUGGGAAUCGAUUGCCGUUGAUACUUGUGGAAGGGGUGGUAGCGACUUGACUAUGACUACCAUUGGCAGAGAUAGGAGAUCAAGAGAAAUCCAGGUUUGGAAGGAUGUAGACGGUGUGUUGACGUGUGAUCCCAAUGUUUGUGCAAAUGCGAUACCACUGCCCUACUUGACUUUUGAUGAGGCAGCUGAACUUGGGUUGUUUGAUGGACAGUCAAUGCAACUAGCUAUGGAAGGUGGCGUACCAGUUAUAGUUAAGAACUUGUGCAACCUUCAAGCACCUGGCACCAUGAUUACUAAAACAAGAGAUAUGAGCAAGAGUAUAUUAACCAGCAUUAUGUUGAAACCAAAUGUUACCAUGAUGGAGAUAGAGAAUACAAGUAUGCUCGGCCAGUAUGCUUUUGUAGCAAAGGCCUUCUCAAUGUUUGAAGAUUUGGGCAUCUCUGUCGAUUGUGUAGCCAUUAGUGAAGGCACGAUGUCGUUUGCACUAGUUCCAUCAAAACUGUUAAAAGGAGAAUUGAUUCAGCUGGAGGUUGAUAAUGUAGUUGGAGAGUUUCAAAAGAUUGCAGCUGUUGGUCUACUACAAGGCAGAUCAGUUCUCUCUCUGGUAGGGAACACACAGAUGUCGCAACUCAUUCUUGAAAAGGCAUUAAAUGUUCUAGGCAGCAUUGAAGUUAAGUUCUAUACAAUCUCGCCAGUGUUGUCCAAGGUGAUGAAACUUUCCUUGGUGGUCGAUGAGAGCGAGGCAAAACAUUGCGUGCAAGCCCUCCAUUCAGCAUUCUUUGAGAGCGAGUACCCAAUUCCAGUCAACUCAUCCACGACAGCAGCUAGCUCCAGCGUCGACAAAAAGGAGGAUGACAACCACCCAGAAGUUCCACCUCCACUCGAUGCGUGUCAGGGAAGGAAGAACAUUGACCGCAACAGUGUUGUGGAGGACACUGAGCUCAUGACUUUCCCUGACAAUUAUCCGAUGCCCGUCGGAGGCGACAAUGUCGGGAACCCGACAGAGUUCUACUACAGCAGCGGAUAUCCAGCCGGGUGGGAUGCCGGAGUACCUGGAGUUCAGUCCCAGCAGCAGGUACUCGCUAAGGAGGUGGGGGGUGGCACUGAACCUCUCAAUGUUCUGGACGAGACCAAGCGCAUUCACCAGACAAUGAUGGACAUGAAGGACAUCGAGCACAUGAUGGUCUUUGACGGCGAGGAUGCGGUGCAUGUCAAUGGCAAGGAUCCGGCGUCCGGGUACUUGGGAGUCGACAACAGUGGAUAUUCAGCUGGGUUGGAUGGCGGAGAACAUCAAGUUGAGGAUUUGAUCCACAAACCAAUGUUUGUCGGAGUCGAGGACGGCGGAUGUUCGACUAGGUUGGAUGGAGGAGAACUUCAAGUUGAGGACUACAUGAUCGACAUCCCGACGCUCGUCGGAGUCAACGACGGCGGAUGUUCGGCUGGGUUGGAUGGCCGAGAACUUCAAGUUGAGGACUAUGUGAUCGAAACCCCGAUGCUCGUCGGAGUCAAUGACGGCGGAUGUUCGGCUGGGUUGGAUGGCAGAGAACUUGAAGUUGAGGACUACCUGAUCGACAUCCCAACGUUUGUCGGCGUCGACCACGGCAGAUGUUUGGCUGGGUUGGAUGGCGGAAUCUGUCAAGUUGAUGACUACCUGAUCGACAUCCCGAUGACCGUCGGAGUUGACGCUGGCGGGGAUGGGUACUUUGACGGUGGACUUGAAGUUGAAGCCGUGCAGCACGAACUCACUGGCGCAGCGAAGAGCGGUAGUAGACAUCGUAUCAACUGA